GACGAACGCUGGCGGCGUGCUUAACACAAGCAAGUCGAACGGUAAGGCCCUUCGGGGUACACGAGUGGCGAACGGGUGAGUAACACGUGGGUGAUCUGCCCUGCACUUCGGGAUAAGCCUGGGAAACUGGGUCUAAUACCGGAUAGGACCACUGCCUGCAUGGGUGGUGGUGGAAAGCUUUUGCGGUGUGGGAUGGGCCCGCGGCCUAUCAGCUUGUUGGUGGGGUGAUGGCCUACCAAGGCGACGACGGGUAGCCGGCCUGAGAGGGUGACCGGCCACACUGGGACUGAGAUACGGCACAGACUCCUACGGGAGGCAGCAGUGGGGAAUAUUGCACAAUGGGCGCAAGCCUGAUGCAGCGACGCCGCGUGAGGGAUGACGGCCUUCGGGUUGUAAACCUCUUUCAGCACCGACGAAGCGCAAGUGACGGUAGGUGCAGAAGAAGGACCGGCCAACUACGUGCCAGCCGCCGCAGUAA
rnacentral:rRNA from 1 species